AUCACCUGGGAAUUUUGUUAAAAUGCAGAUUCUUAUUCAGUAGGUCUAGGUGGAGUCUGAAAGUCUGCAUUUCUAACAAGCUCCCACAUGAUGCUCA
rnacentral:pre_miRNA from 1 species